GCGCUGAUCGGUAACCAGCGCCUGACUAAUAAGGAG
rnacentral:ncRNA from 1 species